rnacentral:lncRNA from 1 species
GAGAAUUAGAGCCAGCAUUAGAGAGUGAGCUCCCCAUAAGUGGGAGCUAGAGCCGGGGAAGAUAGUGAGCCCCCCUUUUGUAGAAUGAGAAUUAGAGCCAGCAUUAGAGAGUGAGCUCCCCAUAAGUGGGAGCUAGAGCUGGGGAAGAUGGGACCACGUUCUGGGAGGCCACCGGUCUGUGGUCUCCGUCCCGGAGGGAUGGGCCCCCGCCCCUGCUCCCAGCCCGGGCACCAGGAGGGGAACCGGAAGCCGGCACAAGGCGGACCACAUGAAUCGCACAAUCUCAGAGAUGGCUGAGGCCUCGAAGGGCGACUAUCCUACCCUGGGUCUGAACAGUUCCCCCGGCAGCGCCCCCGACUAUACGAGCCCCCCGCAUGAGUAGAGGAUUCUGGGGCCGGGUUUAGCAGGGACACCUUCCCAAUGGUGGCUUCUUCAAAUGGGGAGGGGAAACGGAUUCCCGUCGCCCGGUCCUACCAUCCAGAGGAAGGCUAAGGGCCCUGAGCCCGCAGGCACUGCCCACUGCCCACCCUGGGUUCUGCCAUCCCGGGGGGGAGGGCCCCUUGGCCCACAGUCCAUUCUGCACAGGGGCCCGAGGGGGGUCCCACAACAAACCCUCCCCCAGCAACCCCGGUCUCGGGGUCAUCCCGGCCGGGGGGGGGGAGGGGCGAAGGCCCCAGCAGUUUCGCACUCCAGAGAGGGGGGGGGCGGGGAAGGGUUCCCUGGGCGGCCGUGGGUUUCCCCCGGGGCCGGCGGCGGGGCGGGCGCCCUCGGCGGCGGCGGGUCGAGGGCAGCGGCCGGGCCAUGGCCACCAUCCAGUCUGAAACCGACUGCUAUGACAUCAUCGAGGUCCUGGGUAAGGGGACCUUUGGUGAGGUGGCGAAGGGCUCGCCCGGGCCCGAGGGGGGGGGCCAUCAAGAUCCUAAGAAGGAAGCACUGCGAUCAUCGACAGGGAAGUGCUCCGCUGCAUGCGGGGCCUGGACCCUGACGAGGCCCACAUCAUCCGCUUCCUCGAGUUCUUCCACGAUGCCCUCAAGUUUUACCUGGUCUUCGAGCUGCUGGAGCAGAACCUUUUUGAGUUCCAAAAGGAGAACAAUUUCCC